GGGAAUGUGGCUUAGUGGUAGAGUACUUGCCUAGCAUGCAUGAAGCCCUGAGUUCAAUUCCUCAGUACCA
rnacentral:tRNA from 1 species